rnacentral:rRNA from 1 species
UGAAUCCGAUGUUUCAUUUAAACUGGUUUGGGAAAACCAAAUGUAUUAUAUAUUUUGCUUUGUUCAAAAUAAGGUUUUCUAAUAAAUUAUGUUUUUAUCAGAUAUGACAGAACCUUUUUUAAAAUCUCUUCAAUAUGCUUUUAUUGCUUUUGAGAGGUUUUGUUACUUUGAGUAAAAUUAAGUGUUCAUAACAGACGGGUAGUCAUGAUUGAGUUCAUUGUGUUUGAAUACUACAGCAUGGAAUAACAAAUAUGAAUAAGCUAAUUAUUUUUUUUUUUCAUAAUUUUUUUUGAUAUUCUUAUUAGCUUAGUUACGAUUAAUAGGAGUAGCUUUGGGGGCAUUCGUAUUCAGAUGUCAGAGGUGAAAUUCUAAGAUUUUCUGGAGACGGACUACUGCGAAAGCAUUUGCCUAAUCUAUUUCCAUUAAUCAAGAACGAAAGUUAAGGGAGUGAAGACGAUCAGAUACCGUCGUAAUCUUAACCAUAAACUAUACCGACUGGGUGUUGGAUGAAUAUAAAAAAUAUAUAAAUAUGUAGCAUUUCUUAGGGAAUGUUGAUUUUAUAUUAGAAUUGCUUCCUUCAGUACCUUAUGAGAAAUCAAAGUCUUUGGGUUCUGGGGCGAGUAUUCGCGCAAGCGAGAAAGUUAAAAGAAUUGACGGAAGGGCACCACCAGGCGUGGAGCUUGCGGCUUAAUUUGACUCAACACGGGAAAACUCACUAGUUUAAGACAAGAGUAGGAUUGACAGAUA